CCGUCCUGUGGCAGACACACACACACACACACACAGAGAAACUCAUGAGUAAAUCUAAAGUUGCACAAAGUCAUAUCGGUGGAUUAUUCGGAUCCUGGUUCACAUUUAAACCAGGUCGUCAUGACAACGCGGGGUUAGAUCACCAUGGUAACAAUGUGCAUUAUAUGUAAAUAUGUAUAUAAAAAUUUUGGGCGUUUUCUACUGAUUUCAAAAAUAUUCACCGUCGUCAGAUGAAUCAACACAAACGGAGAAAAAGGAAACAGACGAUGAACGAAGUUGUAUUAUUGCUUAUGGGCAGCAGAGGGCGACGUUCUCCACACAAACACUUUCGACUGUUUCUGUGUAAAAUUCUUUGUGUACAACCCAACAAGGAUUAUUAUAAAACUUGAUUCACAGACGUUUUUCAAGCCGCUGUGAUGAAAAGCGUUUACCUCUCGGCGAGCCCGCCCUUGGUCAGCGAGGAGAUGAUGAUGGGGUCGAACGGCUCCUCGGUGCCGGAGAUGGUGAUGCCCAGUGGACCUCCGUACCGCUGCAGCUCCACCGUGUAGAUGAUGGUGCCGGACACUUCCUGCUCAUCUGCAACGUGCUUGACGAGCUCUUCACACUGCUGCAGGAUCUGAACCGCCUCCUCCAUCGAGCAGUUCUCCACCCGGACGUUGUCGAUGGCGAGCAGCUUGUCGCCGAGCUCCAACGUCCCCGUCCUGGAAACAACAACGCCCACACGACACGGGUCAGCGAUGAUGACGUCAUGAUGAUGUCACUGCUCAUAGUGAGCAGCUGCUUCCUGCAGCUGAUGGUGAUUCCCAGCUCCACCCCCGGUUUCUUCGGCAGCUUCACGUGGAACGUUCCGGAGCUCGGGAUGACCGACUCUGAGACACAGAGACAGAGAGACGACGUUCACUUCACUGUCACAAAGAGUGAACGGGAAACCACAGACUCAAGGAUCAGUCGACGUAGAUUCUCCUACAGGCUCGGAGGCCAAGGGCUGUCGGGGUCGAUAUAGGCGAUGAGCGGCGGCGAGGACAGCGUCUCCGUGGCGAACACGCCGCCCUGCAGCUGCAGGCCGAACCCCAUGACGCCGUCGCCGAGCAACGCCACCUCCGUGGUCUCCGUGUGGACGACCUGCCCAGCGAGGCCGACGGUGCUCGACGCGAGAGACACUGACGGAGACGGAGAGAACAGAGCGACGUCAGAGUCACGACGUGGGGAGGAGUGAGUCAGAGGUCAGAGGUCAGAGGUCAAGAGGUCAGACUCACGUGAGCUCUUGAAGUCCUUCUUCUUGCCUUUCCUCCUCAUCAACGUGCCCCGCGGACUUGUGGGAUACAUGUUCCGGGGCAUUGUGCUCAUGUUGAGGGACGAGAGACUGUAGGCUGACAUGGAGCCGGGAGAGAAC